GGUUAAGCGACUAAGCGUACACGGUGGAUGCCCUGGCAGUCAGAGGCGAUGAAGGGCGUGCUAAUCUGCGAUAAGCGCCGGUAAGGUGAUAUGAACCGUUAUAACCGGCGAUACCCGAAUGGGGAAACCCAGUGUGAUUCGUCACACUAUCAUUAACUGAAUCCAUAGGUUAAUGAGGCGAACCGGGGGAACUGAAACAUCUAAGUACCCCGAGGAAAAGAAAUCAACCGAGAUUCCCCCAGUAGCGGCGAGCGAACGGGGAGGAGCCCAGAGCCUGAAUCAGCAUGUGUGUUAGUGGAAGCGUCUGGAAAGGCGCGCGAUACAGGGUGACAGCCCCGUACACAAAAGCGCAUGUGCUGUGAGCUCGAUGAGUAGGGCGGGACACGUGGUAUCCUGUCUGAAUAUGGGGGGACCAUCCUCCAAGGCUAAAUACUCCUGACUGACCGAUAGUGAACCAGUACCGUGAGGGAAAGGCGAAAAGAACCCCGGCGAGGGGAGUGAAAAAGAACCUGAAACCGUGUACGUACAAGCAGUGGGAGCACCCUUUGGGGUGUGACUGCGUACCUUUUGUAUAAUGGGUCAGCGACUUAUAUUCUGUAGCAAGGUUAACCGUAUAGGGGAGCCGGAGGGAAACCGAGUCUUAAUUGGGCGUUAAGUUGCAGGGUAUAGACCCGAAACCCGGUGAUCUAGCCAUGGGCAGGUUGAAGGUUGGGUAACACUAACUGGAGGACCGAACCGACUAAUGUUGAAAAAUUAGCGGAUGACCUGUGGCUGGGGGUGAAAGGCCAAUCAAACCGGGAGAUAGCUGGUUCUCCCCGAAAGCUAUUUAGGUAGCGCCUCGUGAAUUCAUCUCCGGGGGUAGAGCACUGUUUCGGCUAGGGGGCCAUCCCGGCUUACCAACCCGAUGCAAACUGCGAAUACCGGAGAAUGUUAUCACGGGAGACACACGGCGGGUGCUAACGUCCGUCGUGAAGAGGGAAACAACCCAGACCGCCAGCUAAGGUCCCAAAGUCAUGGUUAAGUGGGAAACGAUGUGGGAAGGCCCAGACAGCCAGGAUGUUGGCUUAGAAGCAGCCAUCAUUUAAAGAAAGCGUAAUAGCUCACUGGUCGAGUCGGCCUGCGCGGAAGAUGUAACGGGGCUAAACCAUGCACCGAAGCUGCGGCAGCGACGCUUAUGCGUUGUUGGGUAGGGGAGCGUUCUGUAAGCCUGUGAAGGUGUGUCGUGAGGCAUGCUGGAGGUAUCAGAAGUGCGAAUGCUGACAUAAGUAACGAUAAAGCGGGUGAAAAGCCCGCUCGCCGGAAGACCAAGGGUUCCUGUCCAACGUUAAUCGGGGCAGGGUGAGUCGACCCCUAAGGCGAGGCCGAAAGGCGUAGUCGAUGGGAAACGGGUUAAUAUUCCCGUACUUGGUGUUACUGCGAAGGGGGGACGGAGAAGGCUAUGUUGGCCGGGCGACGGUUGUCCCGGUUUAAGCGUGUAGGUGUGUGUUCCAGGUAAAUCCGGUUCACUUUAACACUGAGGCGUGAUGACGAGGCACUACGGUGCUGAAGCAACAAAUGCCCUGCUUCCAGGAAAAGCCUCUAAGCAUCAGGUAACAUCAAAUCGUACCCCAAACCGACACAGGUGGUCAGGUAGAGAAUACCAAGGCGCUUGAGAGAACUCGGGUGAAGGAACUAGGCAAAAUGGUGCCGUAACUUCGGGAGAAGGCACGCUGACACGUAGGUGAAGUGAUUUACUCACGGAGCUGAAGUCAGUCGAAGAUACCAGCUGGCUGCAACUGUUUAUUAAAAACACAGCACUGUGCAAACACGAAAGUGGACGUAUACGGUGUGACGCCUGCCCGGUGCCGGAAGGUUAAUUGAUGGGGUCAGCGCAAGCGAAGCUCCUGAUCGAAGCCCCGGUAAACGGCGGCCGUAACUAUAACGGUCCUAAGGUAGCGAAAUUCCUUGUCGGGUAAGUUCCGACCUGCACGAAUGGCGUAAUGAUGGCCAGGCUGUCUCCACCCGAGACUCAGUGAAAUUGAACUCGCUGUGAAGAUGCAGUGUACCCGCGGCAAGACGGAAAGACCCCGUGAACCUUUACUAUAGCUUGACACUGAACAUUGAGCCUUGAUGUGUAGGAUAGGUGGGAGGCUUUGAAGUGUGGACGCCAGUCUGCAUGGAGCCGACCUUGAAAUACCACCCUUUAAUGUUUGAUGUUCUAACGUGGACCCGUGAUCCGGGUUGCGGACAGUGUCUGGUGGGUAGUUUGACUGGGGCGGUCUCCUCCUAAAGAGUAACGGAGGAGCACGAAGGUUGGCUAAUCCUGGUCGGACAUCAGGAGGUUAGUGCAAUGGCAUAAGCCAGCUUGACUGCGAGCGUGACGGCGCGAGCAGGUGCGAAAGCAGGUCAUAGUGAUCCGGUGGUUCUGAAUGGAAGGGCCAUCGCUCAACGGAUAAAAGGUACUCCGGGGAUAACAGGCUGAUACCGCCCAAGAGUUCAUAUCGACGGCGGUGUUUGGCACCUCGAUGUCGGCUCAUCACAUCCUGGGGCUGAAGUAGGUCCCAAGGGUAUGGCUGUUCGCCAUUUAAAGUGGUACGCGAGCUGGGUUUAGAACGUCGUGAGACAGUUCGGUCCCUAUCUGCCGUGGGCGCUGGAGAACUGAGGGGGGCUGCUCCUAGUACGAGAGGACCGGAGUGGACGCAUCACUGGUGUUCGGGUUGUCAUGCCAAUGGCACUGCCCGGUAGCUAAAUGCGGAAGAGAUAAGUGCUGAAAGCAUCUAAGCACGAAACUUGCCCCGAGAUGAGUUCUCCCUGAGACUUAGAGUCUCCUGAAGGAACGUUGAAGACGACGACGUUGAUAGGCCGGGUGUGUAAGCGCAGCGAUGCGUUGAGCUAACCGGUACUAAUGAACCGUGAGGCUUAACCUU
rnacentral:rRNA from 1 species